UUGCAACAAAUUUGUAGUUGAAACUUAUUGUAGUUGUUCAAAGUAUAGCAAUAUUUCAUGUAAAAUUUGAGGGUGUGUAGAAUAGAUAUUAGUUCAUUUUUGUAAGAUAUUGAUAAAAUAGAUUAAUAGUCCAUAAAAUAGUCAGUUCAGGAGGAUGGAUGGUUGAUUUAGUUAUUAAAAGUAGUUAUUAUAGGAUUAUGGUUAGGAUCUGGAAAUCAAUAGCAAUUAUAUAGGAGUUGUAGAAGUUUGUUGGGAGGCCAGACUGUGAUAGUCAUGAGCCGGGAUUAAGCUUGGUGCUACUUCUUUGUUUUUUUUUUUCUUUGUUGUUGAAGAUUAAUGGAUAGUUUUUGAAUACUGAGAAGUACAUCUGUUGAAUAAAUCAGAGAUUGAUUUAUGAAUUAUUGAUUAUGUAAUUAGAAUAUUAUGUAAUUGAAUUAAAUGAGAAGUUAUUGGAAGAUUGAUUAUGGAUGGAAGAUUAUGAUUGUUGUUUAUCGAGAAUUGUGUGUGUUUUGGACAGAGGAAGUCUAUGAUUACAGAAAUUCUGUGAAUCCAGAUUGGUUGGAUUGAAGUCUGUUAUUUCUGAUGUUGGAUGGAAUUUAUGA
rnacentral:lncRNA from 1 species